rnacentral:rRNA from 1 species
UACGGAGGGUGCGAGCGUUGUCCGGAAUCAUUGGGCGUAAAGGGCGCGUAGGUGGCCACUUCAGGCGUGCGGUGAAAGUCGGGGGCUCAACCCCUGAUCGGCCGUGCGAACUGGGGGGCUGGGGCACUGUAGAGGCAGGCGGAAUUCCGGGUGUAGCGGUGGAAUGCGUAGAGAUCCGGAAGAACACCGGUGGCGAAGGCGGCCUGCUGGGCAGUUUUGCUGACACUGAGGCGCGACAGCGUGGGGAGCAAACAGG